GCGUGAACCACCGCACCUGGCCUAAUGUCCUAAAUUCUUCAGUGAAGUCCAGGAAGAGUGCUUCCAAAUCUAGUCUUCACAAGUGGGAGUUCAUCUCUUCAUUCUCCCAACUGUCUUGUUAGCAGAUGUUGAAUCAAAUUUCAUCAAGCACACACAUACACACACACACACACACACACACACCACACACACACACACACGCCUCUAUCCUAAUGACAGACACUAAUUCUCAGAGGCAGUGAAGUUUAAACUAGUGGUCAUUCCAGUUUUAUAGCUCACAAGUCAGAAACAUAAACAAACUAGUGGUCAUAAAGGAUAAUGUCUCCAGGGGCCAGACAGGUGACAACAAUCAGUGAAGGGAGCCUGUACUACUGGAAGCUCUGAUGAGCCCAAGGAUGCAGGCCCUACUGAAUAGGACAAUUUCUGCUCAUGUUAGCUGACUGUUUUCAGGUUGGAAUGAAGACUAGAUUGCCUGGAUUUUAAGACAAUCCAGAAAUCUGGAAUUUAAGUGCAAUUUCCCAAUUAAAGAAGUUUGUGAGUAAAAAUAUCUGUGAGUCAUAGCAGGACAUUAAGCCACCAGUUUUUAAGCCCUUGUCUAACCCAUAAUAAGGAAGAGAAAUAUGUUCUCAUUUGGUAAUACCUCCUCUCUCAUAAUGAAAUCUCUGUAAUAUUAUGCAGGCCUGUACCGUGCCUUUCCUUCAUCUCGCCAACUCUUUUCAAAUGGUCCUCUUCAUGCCUGCCUGGCAAAAGAAAGUGGCCUGUAGCUGAGCAGUAUGGUUUGGCAUGGUAGCACCUUUAGCCUUUACUUGUCACAAUGACUCACGGGUUUUUGUUUUAUUCAAUUAUCUUAUGAUACGUAGCCACCGUUGCUCUUGUUGAUGCUCAGGUCUUUCAGAUCUGGCCAGGGAUGCCCCUUGAAGCUGGAUCCGGUGUUCUCCACUGUUUUUGUUUGUUUGUUUUUAGCACCUCCAUGUUUUCUGAUACAAGAUGUUCAGCCUUGCCUUGUAAUUUUUCUGUCAAAUACCUGGAAUCAGCCACUUCUCUAAGAAGUUCAGGUUUUUAAAAUUAGAGAAUGGCAUUUAGAACUCAUGGUGUGGUGGCUGCGAUCAUUUGUACUAUAAUAUCAUUGCUUCUAUGCUCUUUCAGGGAACAGAUUUAUAGCUAUCAUCUCUCUAUCUAUCUUUCUGGAGCAAGAGGGAGGUCUUACUAGUAAUCUUUAAUUUAAUACAGCAAUGUGGUGUUCUUCCUUUGUUCUCAUUCCAUAUGUUUUCUCCCUUCUCUCUUAGUGAAUGAGAAUUAUUAUUCCCCCAAACAAUAUAUUUGCUUUAACAUUCCUUAGUCACAAAUAGUGCUGGAAUUACUACAUCAAUACCACGACCAUCAACACAUCUACAAAGCAAAGCACAAGAUUAUAUUCCAUUAAAAUUAUAUUCCACUAAAUUAUUAAAGUUCAAUUUGAUAUACAGUUAGGUCUUUUUUCUGUUGAUGUUGACGUUUAAGAUAUCUUUCCAUCCUUGCUGAUUAACUUUAUUUUCCAUGUGCAUUCUGUAGAGUUCCCCCUCUGAACUUCCUUGCACUCAACUUCCCUUCAUCUCACUCCCUCCUCAACCCCUCUUUCUUUUUCUGCCAGACUGAGUCCUUUAAACUUCUGAGCUUCCUUCUACCUCUCCCUUUCUUUGUUCGCUGUCCUUAUUGCAUUUCCCCAUAGGAGCCUAGUUCUGUUCUAGGGACUAGAUCUGUAUCAUGGAGUGAGCCAUGCCUCCAGCUCUCAUUUCAUGUGGAAGAGAUGCAGGGCCACAGCCAUCACAGCAGACUGGGGGGCACUCUGUAACAGGGAAGCACAGGACUGCUGGGAGAACAGAGGGGACACUUCUCACCCCAUGGUUGGGGAGGGGGGGGCUUGCACUCCUUAGCUGGCUCUCACGCUAUAGGAAGAAGAGAUAUUUCCUUGAGUUUUUCCUUUCAUGAAGCACCAUUAAUAAUACUGUCGCCAUAGAGUCGCUGAGAGGAUUAAAUGAGAUAGUACACGUUAAUUGCUUAGCACAGUGCCUGGCACAGGAAAGGAGUGUUGCACAGGUUGGGUAUUACUAUGUUAUUAGUUCUUCGAAUAAGCUUUCUACCCCUUGCUCUUGCUCAGCUCCCACUGUUUUGGUUUUUUUUUUUUUUUUUUUUUUUUUGAGACAGGGUCUCACUCUGUCAUGCAUGCUGGAGUGCAGUGGCAUGAUCACGGCUCACUGCAACCUUCAUCUCUCAGGCUCAAGCGGUCUUCUAGCCUCAGCCUCCUGAGUAGCUGGGACUACAGGUGCACAUCAUUGUGCCCAGCUAAUAUUUUUUUAAUUUUUAGUAGAGACGAGGUCUCACUAUGUUGUCCAGGCUGGUCUCGAACUCCUGGCCUCAAGCAGUCCUCCCACCUCUGCCUCCCAAAGUGCUGGGAUUGCAGGCAUGAGCCACAUGCUCGGCCUCAGCUCCCUCUUGAACACCAACAAUUCCUAGAUUUGGUCUUUUGAAUUACUUUUGUAGAUCUUAGAUUUGGUGUUUUGAGUUACUUUUGUAGAUCUUGUUGGCGGUCUUCAUUCCUUUCAGUUAUUUUUUUCCUUUUUUUCCCUCUGGCUGUAUUUUCAAAUAGCCAGUCUUCAAGCUCACUGAUACUUUCCUCUGUUUGGUUCCCUCUGCUGUUGAGAGUCUAUCGAGUUCAUCAGCAAAUGAACUUCAGCGAUUCAGCAAAUGAACUUCUCAGUUUCAAGAUUUGCUUGAUUUUUAAAAUUACUUUAAUAUUUUGUUAACUUUGAUAAGUUUCUGAAAUGCGCUUGUGUGCUAUCUCGGAGAUCACUGAGUUUCCUUAAAACUGCUAUUUUGAAUUCUUGGUCAGGGAGCUCACCAAUCGCCAUGUCGUUAGGCCCAGUCACUGGAUUUUUGCUUUGUCCUUUUGCGUAGGUCAUGGUCUCCUGCUUGCUGGUGUUUUUGUGGGUAUACGCCUGUGUCUUUGCAAUGAAGGAUUAUUUAUUCCAGUUUUCUCUGUCUGGCUUGUUUGGGUUUCUGUGGGACAUCCUUGCCUAGCGAAGCUUCGCGGCCAGGUCGCUUCCUCUUUUUUGGCUCUAGGUGGCGCCCUAAGCCCAGGUUCGCCUCGUCUCCAAUAAAAGGUGGGAGCACGGCCUGUCCCAAACAGGGGAGGUUUCAAAAGGGUUAUCCUGGCAGUGUGGGAAGGCUGGCUAGGGGUUUGCGCACAGGGCAUCAGAGGAACGUACCUUCUACAGCAUGGUGCUGCGGAACAGCCGCUCCAAUGCGGCGUCUCCUUUGGCCGAGUUACAGGGCAGAGUUUCCGGGCUGGGGUUGGCCCUCGCCUCCCUUUGUCUCCGACUGUGCUCAGGGAUGCCGCUCCCUUCAGUCACAGCCACACCUACUGCGAUCUGGAAGCUGGGAAGCCCACAAUCAAGUCACCAGCAGACUUGGCAUCUGGUGAAGGAUUACUCUCUGGUUCAUAGGUGGCUUCUGUGCUCUGUGUCCUCACACAGUGGAAGGAGGGGCACACCUUUCAGGCCUAGCCCUCGGCCUGGAUGAAGGUGUGGCUGAGCAUCCCUGUUCCUGGAACUUGGCAUCAGCAUCACUGACAUCGGAAGCACAUGGACCCCCUCCCACUUCAACAAGCAUCAAACCCAUCUCUUCUCCUUGCUCUGGCCAGGUCAGACUGGAGCCAACUGUGCUGCAGCUCCUGUGGAAGCCUUGGCAGGGAGGUGAGGGGGAGCACCAGUUACAAGCAAAGGCUCCGAGUGCAAAGAGCCUUCGCUUAUGAUUCAGGAAUCUCUGGGCAAGUUACCUAAGGUAUCUGAGCCAGCAGUUCGUCAUCUGUGGAAUGGGGAGAAUGGCAACACUUCUCAUAGGGUUGAAGUAGGGAAUAAAAUGAUAUAAUGUGUAUUAAACCCUUAGAAAAGGGGCUGGCCUGGCAUAUAGUAAGCGCUUAAUAAAUGUCAUCUGUUGUCAUCAUCAUCUAACUUAAAAGAGUUUAGCGACAGUGUUCUUGAAUCUGCCCUUGUUUACAUACUACGGGUCACUUGUUUGGGAGUGGGAGAGGGAAUAAAAACUACUUUUAUUUAUAACUGUAAAUUGUGUGUAUGUAUUUUAUAUUUCAUAUAGGAAGUAAGUCAGGAAUAUGGGGCCUCUCUGAGCUAGGGCCAAGAUGUGGUGCAGCUGGGCAUACAAUCCAGCUGCCCCUCAGGAUGCUUUGCAGAGUCUACCCAGAUGCGCCAGGCUGCAGAAGCACCAUCAUCUGGUGUCCAUCUGCACAGCCAUAACUAGGGAAGAGGCAGAGCU
rnacentral:lncRNA from 1 species